CUUUUAAAGGGUAGUAGAUAUCCACUGGCCUUAGGCGCC
rnacentral:tRNA from 1 species